rnacentral:tRNA from 1 species
GUAGCUCAGUUGGUAGAGCAUGGUGUUUGCAACGCCAGGGUUGUGGGUUCAAUUCCCGCC